AUAAGGUUAUUCGUUAGUGCAUACGAUGGAUGCCUUGGCGUAAAAGACCGACGAAGGACGUUGUUGACUGCGAUAAGCUUCGGGGAGCCGUUAACAGGCUUUGAUCCGGAGAUUUCCGAAUGAGGAAACUCAAUAUAGUAAACCUAUAUUACCUGACUUUAUUGUCGGGAGGGCACGGGGUGAACUGAAACAUCUAAGUAACCCCAGGAAGAGAAAUCAAGAGAGAUUCCCUUAGUAGUGGCGAGCGAACGGGGAAGAGUCUAAACCUAACUUUUUCCAUAAAUUGAUAAAUUUUGUGCUGAUACUUAGCACAAGAUUUAUCAAAACAUGGUUUGUACGAAUUAAUAAGAGUGGGGGUUGUAAGGACGUUCGGCAGUUGCUCAAAGAUCCGCCGUUGGCGGGUAGUUGAGCAACGAUAGUAUCCGUACGAUACAAUAAGAACUUUCAAAAGUGUUAAGAGAAGGACCCUGGAAAGGGCCACCAUAGAGGGUGACAGUCCCGUACAUUAAAAUACUUUUGGACUUAUCGAACGUUACUUGAGUACCACGAGACACGUGUAAUCUUGUGGGAAGCUGGGCAGACCACUGUCCAAGACUAAAUAUCUUUUACGACCGAUAGUGAACUAGUACCGUGAGGGAAAGGCGAAAAGAACCCCGGUGAGGGGAGUGAAAUAGAACCUGAAAUCGUAUGCAUACAAGGAGUAGGAGCCAAAUUUAUUUGGUGACUGCGUGCCUUUUGUAGAAUGAGCCAACGAGUUAGUGAAGUAUAGCAAGGUUAAGUCGACUGACGGAACCGUAGUGAAAGCGAGGAUUAAUAGUCCGAAAUUAGUUAUGCUUCCUAGACCCGAAACUAGGUGAUCUAGCCAUGGCCAGGCUGAAGCUACUGUGAAAGGUAGUGGAGGGCCGAACACACCGGAGCUGCAACACCGGGUGAUGAGCUGUGGUUAGCGGAGAAAUUCCAAUCGAACCUAGAGAUAGCUGGUUCUCCUCGAAAUGUAUUUAGGUACAGCGUCGUGUUAUUAGCAAAUAGGGGUAGAGCACUGAAUGGGUCCGGGCCUUCACCGGUACCGUAUCCAAACAAACUCCGAAUACUAUUUGUGGAACCACGGCAGUGAGACAGCGACGGAUAAGCGCCGUUGUCGAAAGGGAAACAGCCCAGACCACCGUCUAAGGUCCCUAAAUCCAUGCUAAGUGGGAAAGGAUGUGAAACUGCACAGACAACCAGGAGGUUGGCUUAGAAGCAGCCAUCCCUUUAAAGAGUGCGUAACAGCUCACUGGGUUACGCGGUUUUGCGCCGAAAAUGUAACGGGGCUAAGCAUGGUACCGAAGACGUGGGUUCGUAAUUUAUUACGAGCAGUAGAGGAGCGUUCAUAUUUGGCUGAAGCUAAACUGUAAGGUUUGGUGGACGAAUAUGAAGUGAGAAUGUUGGCAUGAGUAGCGUUUAUGCACGUGAGAUACGUGCACACCGUAAAUCUAAGGUUUCCCAUCCAAUGCUAAUCAGGGUGGGGUUAGUCGGGCCUAAGCGUAUCCCAGAAGGGUCUACGCGAUGGACAACUGGUUGAUAUUCCAGUACCUCUUUAUGUGUUCCCUAUCUGACGCUUUUCACAAGCCGGAGCUUUCUAAUGGUAUGAGAGUUUAACAUGUGUAACGCAUGGAAUAAAAGUGCCGUAAGGCAUUAUUCUGGUGAAUGAAGAGACAGGAAAAUCGAUAGAUUAAUAAUGUAAAGAGCCCGUACCGUAAACCGACACUGGUAGAUGAGGCGAGUAGCCUAAGGUGUUCGAGCAAACCCUCGUUAAGGAACUCGGCAAAACAGCGGCCGUAACUUCGGGAUAAGGCCUGCCCUGCCGCCACUUUGUGGCAGAAAAGUUUCUUUUCGAAUAGUAAACGAGAAUAGUGUGAGAGUGUAAUGUUAAAACGAAUAACAAAAUAGAGUGAUAAAAUUUGAGAUUGAGAAGUUUCUGGCGCGAAGCGGCGACAGGGCCGCAGCGAAAGAUCCCAGGCGACUGUUUACCAAAAACAUAGGUCUAUGCAAACUCCCAAAGAGGAGGUAUAUGGGCUGAUGCCUGCCCAGUGCUGGAAGGUUAAUCUGAUCCGUGCAAGCGGAGACGAGAAGCCCCAGUGAACGGCGGCGGUAACUAUAACCGUCCUAAGGUAGCGAAAUUCCUUGUCUGGUAAGUUCAGACCCGCACGAAUGGCUUAACGGUCUGGGAACUGUCUCAACGAGGGGCUCGGUGAAAUUGCAUUGCCGGUAAAGAUGCCGGCUAAUUACAGAAAGACGGAAAGACCCCGUGAAGCUUUACUACAACUUUGUAUUGAAUCAGGGCGUAAUUUGUGUAGCAUAGGUGGGAGACUUUGAAGCCAAGGCGUCAGCCUUGGUGGAGUCAUCAGUGAAAUACCACCCUUAUUACGUUUUGUUUCUAACUAGUCUUAGACUAGGACCGUGCAUGGUGGGUAGUUUAACUGGGGCGGUUGCCUCCUAAAGAGUAACGGAGGCGUUCAAAGGUUGGCUUAGUCUGAAUGGAAACCAGACAAAAAGUAUAAAAGCAUAAGCCAGCUUGACUGCAAGACCUACAAGUCGAGCAGGUACGAAAGUAGGAUUUAGUGAUCCGGUGCAUUCGUGUGGAAGAUGCAUCGCUCAACGGAUAAAAGCUACUCCGGGGAUAACAGGCUUAUUCCUUCCAAGAGUUCACAUCGACGAAGGAGUUUGGCACCUCGAUGUCGGCUCAUCGCAUCCUGGGGCGGGAGUACGUCCCAAGGGUUUGGCUGUUCGCCAAUUAAAGCGGUACGCGAGCUGGGUUCAGAACGUCGUGAGACAGUUCGGUCCCUAUCUUCUGUAAUCGUCAAAGCUUGAAGAGAGUUGUUCCUAGUACGAGAGGACCGGAAUGAACAUACCUCUGGUGUACCAGUUGUCUUACCAAAGGCACUGCUGGGUAGCUAUGUAUGGACGGGAUAAGCGCUGAAAGCAUAUAAGCGCGAAGCCCCCUCUAAGAUAAGGCUUUAUAGACCGGUCGAAGACCACGACCUUGAUAGGCUCUAGGUGUAAGCACGGUAACGUGUUCAGCCGAGGAGUACUAAUGGUUUUGAG
rnacentral:rRNA from 1 species